rnacentral:lncRNA from 1 species
UAGGGGAGUCAGAGAUAGGCCCAGGCUAUUCAGAGCAUCCUGGAUUGAGGUGUUCAAGGAACACUUGCUUGUCACCAAGAGCUCCCCACGGACCAGAGUGCGCUGAUAAGAAACCAUUCCUAUCCAGCCUUGGUCGUGGUUCUUGUACCCUGUAACAGUACAAGCAUGUACCCAAGUCCCUGAGCUGCACUGUGUCUGUCCCAGUCAUCCAGCAGGUCCCACGGUCCCUCCUACUGUUGCAGGACCACAUAGUUCCUGUGAACCCAGGGUCCAGACCUAUGGGUGACUUUGUGUGAGGAGUAAGCUCUGCUCUAUGGGAACACUGACCAACUUAAUUCCGGGGGACUGGAUGGCGGUUGGCCAUGGCUGUGGAUAAGCACUGCUGCUGCUCAAAAACUUCAUUUAUUAAAAAUAACAACACGAA